GGGCUAUAGCUCAGUGGUAGAGCACCUGCUUUUCAGGGACAAGGUCCCAAGUUCAAUUCCUGGCAUCUUCA